rnacentral:rRNA from 1 species
UACGGAGGGUGCAACCGUUGCUCGGAAUCAUUGGGCGUAAAGCGCACGUAGGCGGCUCGAUAAGUCGGAUGUGAAAUGCCUCGGCUCAACCGAGGACGUGCAUUCGAAACUGCCGAGCUUGAGUAUGGAAGAGGGUCGCGGAAUUCCCGGUGUAGAGGUGAAAUUCGUAGAUAUCGGGAGGAACACCAGUGGCGAAGGCGGCGACCUGGGCCAAUACUGACGCUGAGGUGCGAAAGCGUGGGGAGCAAACAGG